GCUGUCUCAAUUUAAUUAAAAAUUUAAUUUAAUUUUUAAGUUAAAAAGCUUAAAUAUUUUUAAAGGACGAGAAGACCCUAUAGAGUUUUAUAUUAUUAUAUUAUAAAAGUAUUUAAUUAUUAUUUUAUUAUUUAAUAAUAUUUUAUUGGGGCGAUAAAAAAAUUUAUUAAACUUUUUUAUUAAAUAUUUUCAUUGAUUUAUGAAUUUUUGAUCCUUUUAUA
rnacentral:rRNA from 1 species